CCAAACUGGCGGGAGCACGAUCGAGGCGCAGCAGAAUACAUGUAGCGCUGAGUCAUAUCGAGUUAAGGCACACUCUAAACUGACUUUUAUCCCGAGCGGUUUUUCGUUUAUUACGCCGCCGUUACCCUGAGUUAAAUUGUGCCGCCGCGCUCCAGCUGUUGCAUUUCGUGUAGGGCUACUGACAGAAUGCGGUUUCCUGAUGGCACGAUGGCCUCGACUGGAAUAAACGCACACGACACCAAAGAUUGAGUAAGCCUGAAAAUAUUUUAUUUGCAUUUUACAAGUACAACAAAAAGCACACGUCUACGCAUCCACACAAACGCGGUUACAUAGUCAAGAAAUGGCUCAUUAAUAAGGGUAGCACAAACGCACAAGAAAGAAGACCUAAGCUACAAAACGUACGGUCGGCUGCUAAGUAUAAUAAUUUCCCUGUCACCGCGUGUCACUUUUAUACAGCAUCCUUACAGCACUACCAGGCCGGGUAGUUUGGCGGAAAGAACGCAACCGCUUAUACGGCCGUCAGCUGCCUCUUCCUUACGGGUGUCAUAAUUAUCCUAAUCUCCGCAUCAACGUCGUGCAAGUUCGCAUACAGGUAUCUGUAUCUGAACCAUAUGUGCCAGCUUAAUACACGUGUAGUGAAAUUAUGAUAACCACUGCGUCUCAUCAAACGUAUUGGUUUUGCAAAUGCGCAUUACAGCUGACGGAACGACAUACUGUAAGUGAAGCACAAGAGAGCAAGGACAAAAGGAGGAUACAACACUUGAAGAAAUGAAGAAUUAGUAGGCAUACAGCAAACAAGCGAUGACGGAGAACACACAAUGAUGCAUCGGGUGUUCUGUGACAUCGGUUUGCGUACUUGCGGUGUUAUGGAGAUCAACGGCAUAAAAACGUACCUUCAAGCGUACUCCCUCAACCUCCGCCGCAUUCAUUAUGAUAAUCAACGCCUAAACAAAAUGAGGCACUAUUCUUUGCCAAGAGUAGACCUUUUUACAGCAAGUCUAUGUAAUGACUCGCAGACGAAACCAGCAUGCUUUCGAAAAUGUUUUACCGCCGUAGUAUUCGAACGCCAACGGCCAGGAAACACAUCGAUACCAAUAGGCUGUCGGCUGUCGGUGGUUAAUCGAGCACAAAAACCUUGACGCUAUGACUAAAAAGCAGCUUCAACAAUCAAAUUUUUAAAAAAUCAACUGCCUAUUUGCCUGAGGUAAAAAAGCAUCCUUAGACACCUCGAUUGUUCAUGUCAAUGGUUUGUGUAAAUUAAAAAAUUCAGCAUGUUCAGCGCCCCUAGCAGAGAAAGCACAAAUUAAAGUAGUCGACCAAAUUACAGUAGCUCCACUUGCGCGCUUACGCUGAAACGCGCCUCGAUUGAUUUUUCGCCCUCUGUGGCCAUUUGUUGAACUUGAGAGUGUGCGGGGCCUGGCGGGCCGCCGGGUGCACAUGUGUGUGUUCUCCGUGACAGUCUUGAAGUUGCGAGUAAUUAGAUUGUUUUUCGCUGCGUUUAGGUUGCACCACCUCGUUGUUAUCGUGUACUUUUGUGCUCAUCGACGCGAAGGGAGCAUCCGGACUGAAGGCGACGUGAUUAUGCAUGAGAAAGAAAGGCAGUAGCGGCCUGCGACAUCGGUGUUUCUUUGUGACAGUGUGUUUACUAUGCCUACGACGGCGGUCAUUCGUGGCCAACGAGAAAACAUCUUCCAUUCGGCCUGACCAGUGAUGAAGUGGACUUUUUUUUUCGGCGGAAUCCAUCGUCAACAUCGUCCAUCCACUACGUAAACGAAAUGGCGUGCCCAGAGUAUACAUCGUGACAGCGCUCCGCCUUCAAACCGAGGGCCUUUUGCAAGGCGCAUGGACGGCUCAUAUAAAAGUUAGUCAGCAUGAAGCAAUUGCAUGGGAACCGGCCGAUUGUCUUGGGCCUACACAUUGCUCAAAAGACAGUGAAGGUGUCUGAGCCGACAGGUAGAAAACAAGCAGAUGGCUACAGCGAUCAAUGAAGAAAUGGCUUCAUCUAUGAUGGCUCGCCUUAGGACAUUGGAAUGGAGCUACACAAAGGCAUCACCAGCCUCGCCUGUGCAUUGGAACAUUGGUUUGAAUAAGACUGUUCUUCAGUGUAGAACGACCACAAGACUUGUCACCACAUACAAGGCGUAGUGCAAGCUCUAAAUAUUGUACAGGUGGCUAGAAUAAAUGACCCUCCAUGCAGUCA